CUUUAGCAUAUCAAUAAGCGCAGGUCAUAGAAAACAAACCAGGGAUGCCUUAGUAACGCGCGAGUGAAGCGGCAACAGCUCACAUUUGAAAUCUGGCCCUCGGGUCCCGAAUUGUAAUUUGUAGAGGAUGAUUUUGGUGCGGUAUCUUCCGAGUUCCUUGGAACAGGACGCCUUAGAGGGUGAGAGCCCCGUACGGUUGAAUGCCUAGCCUCUGUAAAUCUCCUUCGACGAGUCGAGUAGUUUGGGAAUGCUGCUCUAAAUGGGAGGUAAAUUUCUUCUAAAGCUAAAUAUUGGCCAGAGACCGAUAGCGCACAAGUAGAGUGAUCGAAAGAUGAAAAGCACUUUGAAAAGAGGGUUAAAUAGCACGUGAAAUUGUUGAAAGGGAAGGAUUUGUGACCAGACUUUUUCUGGGCGGAUCAUCCGGGGUUCUCUCCGGUGCACUUUGCCCAGUAAAGGCCAGCAUCGAUUUUCGGCGGCGGAUAAAAGCAGUGGGAAUGUGGCUCCCCACGGGGAGUGUUAUAGCCCAUUGUAUAAUACGCUGCUGGGGAUCGAGGUACGCGCUUCUGCAAGGAUGCUGGCGUAAUGGUUAUCAAUCACCCGUCUUGAAACACGGACCAAGGAGUCGAACAUUUAUGCGAGUGUUUGGGUGUUAAACCCUCACGCGUAAUGAAAGUGAACGGAGGUGAGAGCCCGUACGGGUGCAUCAUCGACCGAUCCUGAAGUUUUCGGAUGGAUUUGAGUAAGAGCAUAACUGUUCGGACCCGAAAGAUGGUGAACUAUGCGUGGAUAGGGUGAAGCCAGAGGAAACUCUGGUGGAGGCUCGCAGCGGUUCUGACGAUGCAAAUCGAUCGUCAAAUCGUGCGCAUGGGGGCGAAAAAGACUAAGUCGUAUUCGAUCUAGAUGAGC
rnacentral:rRNA from 1 species